UACGGGGGGGGCAAGCGUUGUUCGGAAUUACUGGGCGUAAAGGGCUCGUAGGCGGCCAACUAAGUCGGACGUGAAAUCCCCAGGCUCAACCUGGGAACUGCGUCCGAUACUGGAUGGCUUGAAUUCGGGAGAGGGAUGCAGAAUUCCAGGUGUAGCGGUGAAAUGCGUAGAUAUCUGGAGGAAUACCGGUGGCGAAGGCGGCAUCCUGGACCGACAUUGACGCGGAUGAGCGAAAGCUAGGGAGCAAACGGG
rnacentral:rRNA from 1 species